rnacentral:misc_RNA from 1 species
CUGAUGAAGGCAUCACAGUUUGAGGACGACUAGCACGUCGGAUACCAAGUAACAAUUGAUUCUUUUCAUUCCAGAUAAAAAGGACUGAAUCCCCAGCGACAAGUCUUUUAGCACUUACAAACACACUCCACCCUGUUGUUAGAAGAUGCCUUUUGGGCUGGCCACGAAAGAUAUGCCUGAAUUUCCAUUCGUUAUCAUGUAGAUCCCUAGCAAUCAACUCUUGAGCUGGAGGUUGUUGGGAAAAGUCCAGUGGAGGAAACACUUUUUCAGCUGCCCGGCGAGGUACAGAGAAUCCUCCAUGAGUACUUGUGUCACUGGCCGUCAAAGUUUUACAAAAAUAAUUUGUUGGCUGUUUGCUGGGGGGNNNNGGGGUGCCCAAUUCCGCUGGAAGGUAGGCAUCCUUCUGCUCUUGAGGACUCAAUGGCUGCAAUGUCAUCUGUGCAUAUACUUCAUCUGUCUCAACAUCUGCAUGCAUGGUCACAUUGUGAAGCUGACAGAUAAGUUGCGGAGGUAAGCUUGGGUAGUUAGGGAUAUGGGCAUCAACUUCUUUGUUAGUUGAUGCAGCAACCUGCUCGCUGUGACCCUGGGG